GCUCGUAUCCAUCUAACGUCUCUGCUUUAGAUUGGGAACCUGUGUUUUCCCUUUCCCCCUUUCUGGUAAACUCAUCUCCUCUCCUAUGGCUUUGGUAGCUCAACUGAUCCUUUGUUCCUACUUUUCUUCUUCGUAUUCGCUCCAUUUACCCAAUCUAUCCAGGUAUAAUACCUUUGAACAUCAAGAACACUCAUUAGAUUUAUCCUCGGUUUUCAUUUCUCCGAUCAAGGCGUUUUGUCAGCCUCCGCCUCUACUCCUCUGUCUUGAAUCCGGCAUCAAUACCUUACAUCUGGUUUCCCUCUAUCUCAAACUCUUCUUUCUCAUACUUUCGUUGAUUUAGGGUUCCUCAUUUCACAAGUUUUGAGAAACUCAACCAUCGCAAUUCUUCAAAACACAUGGAAUUCGCAGAAACCCUAAAUUAGCCCCUUCAUCAAUAUCCCAUCUUCUUCCUAAACCCUAAUAACCAGGUUUUCAAUUCAUCAGGCUUCUCUGCAUACGAAAAGCGAGACAGAAAGAGGAUUGAAGCUGAUAUAAUUGGAGCUUGUUAUUUUGUCAAGUUUAUACGAAAUUGAAGGUUUACUCUUCAAAAUCUGAUUACAAUCCCUGAACCUACUAUCCCCCUAUCCAUUCUGCACGACCAGACCAGGGGAAGAAGGCCUUAGAUAUGUAUGCAAUGCUGCUGCAAGAAAAUUUGACGGGAAGGAGCUGGAGUUGGUUAUUGUCAUUCUACCGGACAAUAAUAGUUCCUUAUAUGCUUAAUCUUCUGGAGUGCGAUUUUGAGGAGGAGGAGGUUGGGUAGGGAUGGAGGGAAUCUGGUAGAGUGAUGGUGGGAGGAAAAAUAUGCGAAGUUACUCCCAAACUCCAUCAUCGCUUCUCAAAUCCGAAAGAAGACUCACAUCAAAGACCCCAAGCUAGACUUAUGAUCCUGGUGGUGAUGCGGGAUGUGACUAUAUACAACAGAGGCAGCAACUUAAGUUGGCAGGCCAAUCUCUUCACUUGGACUGGUAGUUACAGUAGAUUUCUUGAAUUUGCUGCUUUAUAACCAGGGGUCUUUUUACAAUGGAAGCCGGUAUGACUUUUUCAACGUUAACGGAACUCUUCCGGAAGAGGUCGAGCCUUCAUUUAUCAACAAGAUAAAACCUGUUAAAGUCCGGCAAGCUGUUGGCUUACUUCUGAAAAAUAAUCUUAGAACUGCGCGCUUUCAAAACUAUGGCCCCAACUAAUCAGCAAUAUAUGAAUCAGAGUUGUUUCCUUGUCUUGUAUCACCUGAUAGGCACAUCCGUACAACUGUUGGGAUCACAAUUAGUGUUAUUAUGCAGCUUGUAGGAGUUAUUGGUUGACCUGAGACGUUGCAGGCUCUCUUAACUCAUUUAGACAUACUGAUCUUAGUCAGGUCAAAGUGGCUAUGGUUGCUUUAUCAAAGGAAAUCAUUCACAAUAUUUAAAGAGGAAACGGGCUAUCCCUGGUACAGCUUUGGCGGCGACACUUGCUUCCGCAACUAUAGUUUCAUAUUCUAUUCCCGAUGUAUGUUCACAAGGUGCCCGUUCUCACUGCAUACAGAAGACCAAAGAGAUGGGUACCUAGCAGGGAAUGAAGAGAGUUGGUAUAUGUAUGGUUUAUUUAACUGGAGAGGUGUGUAUUUAGUUAUUUUAUUAUUCAUAAAUCAAAUGUGCGCUAUCUCUAGCUUCAGAUUUCAACAUUUGGAUAUACCCUUAGACCUUUGAUGUGUAACCGAUUUACUGAACAUUAUAUUUGUUGAAUGAGUUCACGUGCACAUGUACAUAAUUACUGAA